rnacentral:rRNA from 1 species
GGUCCUACGGGAGGCAGCAGUGGGGAAUCUUGGACAAUGGGGGCAACCCUGAUCCAGCGAUGCCGCGUGAGUGAAGAAGGCCUUAGGGUUGUAAAGCUCUUUCACCCGUGAAGAUAAUGACGGUAGCGGGAGAAGAAGCCCCGGCUAACUCCGUGCCAGCAGCCGCGGUAAGACGGAGGGGGCUAGCGUUGUUCGGAAUGACUGGGCGUAAAGGGCGCGUAGGUGGUUUGUCAAGUCAGGCGUGAAAGCCCCGGGCUUAACCUGGGAACUGCGCUUGAUACUGGAUGACUAGAGGACGAGAGAGGAAAGUGGAAUUCCGAGUGUAGAGGUGAAAUUCGUAGAUAUUCGGAGGAACAUCAGAGGCGAAGGCGGCUUUCUGGCUCGUAUCUGACGCUGAGGCGCGAAAGCGUGGGGAGCAAACAGGAUUAGAUACCCCAGUAGUC